rnacentral:snRNA from 1 species
GUGCUCAUUUAGGCAGCACGUAAAUUGGAAUGAUACAGAGAAGAUUAGCACGGCCCCUGUGCGUGGAUAACAUGCACAUUCAUGAAGCGUUCCAUAUUUUU